AUUGAACGCUGGCGGAAUGCUUUACACAUGCAAGUCGAACGGUAGGGGGGCAACCCCUCGAGAGUGGCGAACGGGUGAGUAAUAUAUCGGAACGUGCCCAGUCGUGGGGGAUAACGUAGCGAAAGUUACGCUAAUACCGCAUACGAUCUAAGGAUGAAAGCGGGGGAUCGCAAGACCUCGCGCGAUUGGAGCGGCCGAUAUCAGAUUAGGUAGUUGGUGGGGUAAAGGCUCACCAAGCCAACGAUCUGUAGCUGGUCUGAGAGGACGACCAGCAACACUGGAACUGAGACACGGUCCAGACUCCUAAGGGAGGCAGCAGUGGGGAAUUUUGGACAAUGGACGCAAGUCUGAUCCAGCCAUUCCGCGUGCAGGAUGAAGGCCCUCGGGUUGUAAACUGCUUUUGUACGGAACGAAAAGGUCUCUCUUAAUACGGGGGGCUCAUGACGGUACCGUAAGAAUAAGCACCGGCUAACUACGUGCCAGCAGCCGCAGUAA
rnacentral:rRNA from 1 species